UGUGGCGAGGAAUUCCAUUAUGUCAAGAUCAAAUUAACAAAGUCGUCAAAAACGAAUGCACUCGGAAACUUUACACUGAAAGUAACGACAACAGGACCUUUGCCAGUAGGUAUCAUUAUUGGUUCUAUCUUUGGUGGAAUCAUCUUUCUGGCCAUCUUCUUCAGUGUAAUAAGAUGGAUUUGUCGUCGGCGUCAAAUCGGAAGAGUACCGAAUGGAAAUGGUGAUCAGAGUCCAAUUAUUACAUCUACAGUGACUCUCCAUCCACCACCACAACAUUACGGCACAACGUAUCCCGGCAGAGAGCAGAACAACACAACUCCACAUCCUUAUCCAAGCGCUGUCCAGAACAACCAUUAUCCUAUCGAUUAUAACAUUCAAACUUCAUAUCCGACUAAAUAACGUUCGUAAUGCCCAGGAUAUUAUUGAUACGAUGAU